GCUAAAUGCGGAAGAGAUAAGUGCUGAAAGCAUCUAAGCACGAAACUUGCCCCGAGAUGAGUUCUCCCUGACUCCUUGAGAGUCCUGAAGGAACGUUGAAGACGACGACGUUGAUAGGCCGGGUGUGUAAGCGCAGCGAUGCGUUGAGCUAACCGGUACUAAUGAACCGUGAGGCUUAACCUU
rnacentral:rRNA from 1 species